CGUUUUGAUGUGAGAUCAGACACGGCGAAGAGUCGGCCGAGCUUUGAGUUCUUCAAAUCACGGGGGGGAAAGGCGACGAAGGCCGUCGUCUAUCUCCGCGUGCACUCGCUUUGCGUCUCGUUUAUUGGCCUCGUUUAUUGGCGGACCCCCACCCCCCCACUCCCCCCCCGAUAGCUGCCAGCCGUGAAAGGCCCGUGAGCCGGCGCUGGCAGCGUGCCCCGCCGCAGCAGGUGCAGCCCGAGCGGGAGAUAAGGAGAAGGUGCUGACGCAUUCGCCGAUCGACUUAAGAAAAAACGCUGAUUGAGACGAUUGAUGCCGGGCUACUUUCUCGCCGCGGGGACGCGUGGGUGGCCCCCGUUCCUGUGGGAUUGGAGGCGGGUUUGGGGGGGUGGGGAAGGUAAAAUAAAAGUGCCAGGGCUCCUGUGUCGACGUCGUGGAAAAUCGUCCUCAGCGGUUUCCUGCGGGUCUCCAUUAUCAGGCCUCGUUGGUAGACCAGCUUUUCCCCCCCCGACUUCCUGCCUCGUUUCCUCCCCUUCCAACCCGCUUCCCCUCCCACACUCCCCUCAAUCACAUGAAUCAACGCUGCCAGGGAGAGAGGGCGAGGUGCCGGCUAUAAACCACACUGCUAACUUACUAAAAGUCAAGUUACUACGCGUAGUUUUCAUUGUGCAGCGAGCUCAUUUCUUCACGUAGCGUCGGGUAGUCGCGCGCAUCACCGCGUCGCUCUGGGUUUUUAUUUCAUUAAUCCUGCUGUGAGAGCUGCGUGAGGUUCCCCUCUUCCCUGUUGGACGUGAAACCACGAUGCCGGUCAGGACGGAGCUUCUCCUGUUCAGACGUGGUUGGCAAGCCCUUAAAAACCAGCACAGCUCCGGCCAAUAAGUAGAAAACCCAGAAAGCGUAGGAUGACGUGAGACUUGAGCAACGAGACGGUUCCCCUCGUUCCCGGAUAUGUGGCAACUUACACAAGUGUAACAACGAACAUUCUGGGAAGGUUAAGGAGGUUAAGGUGGACCACUGAUGAUUUGAGCUUUGGGGUCGCGCUUUGGCCGCGCAACACUUGGCAGUGCGCGUCGUUGCCAGGACGACGUCCACAAACGCACUCCUACCCGAUGAAGAUGAGGGCUGAAGGACGUGGAUGCGGGUCAGCGAACACACAGAAAGAGGCGAAAUUGAGAGGGAGCCUCAAACGCUUAGAAACCUUGCAUUUAAUUUGAGUGCGAACCAGCGGGGGAUGGGAGAGAGAGAAGAGGGAGAGAAUAAAGAAGAUAAGUGUGCCUAUUGUACGUGUGAAUGAGAAGGAACAGGGCGUAGGGAGGCAGAGAGAGAGAACGUGAAGGCUGGAGGGAUACAAGCAUGACUAAUCUCGCUGUCAUCCGUAGAAAAAACAAAUCCACAGUAAACCUUUCUCACAGCUUUCCAUCAAUCGCAGAGGGUUUGAUCUAUGGCGGCGAUCGGCGUGCCUCCCGGGGAAGGUCGGGCUGUUGUUUCGCCACAGGACGUGACACAGAGCAUGUGUGAGGCGCCUGAUAGAGAGGCAGAGGCCGACGAGAAAAGGAAAGAAAAUAAAGAGAGAGGGGAAAGGGAAGCACUUAGGUGUGCUUGAUAUCCCAUCAGCGCCCAGUACCCAUCUCAGGCGUGGAAAACCACCACCAUCGGGGUUCACUGCUGGCCCCCGAAAACCAGCCGGGGGGGGGCGGCCAGAGCCCCUUUUUGAGCCGAGAUCAAAUGGUGGACGGAUAAAAGCUUGAAAAACAAUGCCCCCCCCUCCCCUCCUCUCCCCCCCGUGUCCGAGAGCCAAAUAUGCAGCCGCAAUACGAGUUCCUUUUUGUUCUUGAAAAUGCUCCUCAGAUGCUUGACGCAAGACCAAGAGAGGGAGGAGGAAUAAAGGGGGGAGGGAAGGGGGGGGGGACAAAACAAACAGCAAUUAAGGUAGUUUGUGGAUCCGUUUGAAAGAUCCAUCCUUUAGGAAACAUCUGCCAUCUGUCUUGAUGCAGGAGGCCAGGAAAGGACUGAUUCGGAAUCCGUGCCUUUCUAAGCUGACGAUCCAACGCGCUCGCGCACGCUGCAACCAACAACACGGACACUCACACACAAGGUCUAUUUUUUGCUACAGUCCAAAAAAUAAAAAAUAAAGCAUUUAUAGUCUAAACACAGAUAAGACCCGUAUCACUUUGCCUUCGGCUGGAAAUUCCAGACAAGCGUCCAAUGGGCGCUGGAGGAUAAGGACAUAUCUUUUGAGGCAGAAAGCUCUUGGUUGUCUCACGGAGAGAAGUUUUUCACAAUCCGCAGCGACGAAAGUACACAGCUUCUAUCUGGCGUCCAGAUAUAAAGCGGGAAUGCCAAAGAGUACAAGCGUCUGACCCCGGAGGUCCCCGAGAGGAAGCAGGCAGAGAGCAAACUGUGAUCCACUGUGAGAGGUACACGGGGAAACACAAACAAUAGUUUCACAAAUGUGUCCCGUGCACUUUCCUGAGCGCGAACGCCGACGGACAGGGAUUGCAGGAGUAGGGAAACGCCGCUGCGCUGUUCUACUUCACAGGUAUUCAGGGAAAAAUCCAUAAUUCCGCCGGAGGGAUUCGUCAAUCAGUACAUCUGAAACGUUUCAGGCCGCGCGAAACGCCAAAGAGCUGCCCGGGGAAAUGAAAAGAUAAACGUGAAACAAGUCCGACACGGUGUGUUUACACCCCACAGUGAGGCGCUCAGCCCGCUCGUGCAAACUGCCGCCGCAGUAAGUCCAACAUGGCGGCGGCUCGAGUGGCUUGUUGUGCAAUAAACAGGGGCGCAGGCUGCAGGGCGCCGUUGUUUUUCAUGUCAACACUGGAGUUGUUCGACCAGAGGACACACACACACACACACACCUCUGUCCCUUUUGACCUGCUACUGUGAGGCACCUUUGACUCCAGCAGGACUCCCCGACACUCAGAUACAAAUUCAGUUGCGUUUCGUUUGUGCAUCGUGUUCAGCAUCAGCCUUUUGUCAAAAUGACGCAUCUCUUUUUAACAGGCAGCAAAGAGCCGCCGGAAUGCUUUGCUAAACAGUUCUGGGAUAGAAAUGUGUUUUGUGUGCAGCUCUUGAUUCCUUCAAGUGUUUACAAGCACAUCGACCAAUCGGGACCCGAGGUCGCUCUUGGACGGCUGGUUGGAAUAUCAAAACCAAAGAGGAGGAAAAAGAACACAGAACAAUCCAAAUCCCGCUUUUUUGUUCCCUCGUAGACUAAAUCUUCAAACUGGCGGGUUUGUGUUGCAACCAUUGGGGAGGUAAAGCAUUUGGGUGAUGCUCGCUGUCUGAAGUUAAAAAAAAACGUUUGCGGUUUGACAUUAAUUUGUGUGUCUCUGCAGCUCAGUCGGAUCAAAGCGGGUUUGUGGAUCCGGCCCUCGUCUGCGCUGUACGGUCACAUCAGAAAGGAAAGAUCCAUCUGUUCCUUGCUGAGAGGAGCGAGUAGGGCUCACAGGAGGGCGCGCACACACACACACACACACACACACAUCUCCCAUCACCAGCUGGAUCGGAGAAAAAGCAGCAAUUUGGCAACAGACGCUGAGCUCUCUAAUGGUUCCAUCCACCACGCCCUCCGCGCUGCACUCCUCCAUCAGCUCAAACCCGCUGACUGAAAAAACAAAAGUCCUAUUGCAACAUUCCUCCUGCAGAUUCACACACACACACACACACACAUGUACGCACUAUCCUGUUAACCACCCCCACUUCCAUGCAAUCAGAGGCUCAGAAUAGGAAGGAGGGAGAGGAAGCGGCCCUGCAUUCACAGGCUGGGAACAAGGAGAAGGAAAAACAGCCGGAACCUGGAAUUUACGGAGGAAAAAACAACGGCCAUCCAAAAAUACCUCAGGACCAUCUCCGCAGAUAAACAGAAACAUCAUUACUCUCAUCCUGCGGCUCGGGACAGUUUUUCCUUCCACACUUCCUUCCAUCUCAACUUUGCUUCCAGCGGCUCAAUAUCGAGGAAACUUCAAGUGGCAACCGCUCUUUUGAGAGGCAUUCGCCCCCCUCCACCUUCCACCCUCCGCCCCCAUGUGCUACUCAGGUCUUUCUGCUCCGGCCUUCCUCAGGUCAGGGAAGCCACGCAGAAGGUCCAAACCUCAUUAGGCCCGAAGCUAAUCAGCGCUAAGUGGAGCCGCCGGACAGCUGGUCUCCCUGCUGCUGGGGGACGAGUCCAGCCUCUUAAAUGUCGUGUUUAUUUACUUUCCAUUGUCCUUUAACUUCCUCGAGAGGAUUCACAAAGUUCUGCGUUUGCGCCGCAGUCACACGAGCUGGACGGGAGCUGCAACCUGAGGCUCCUCCGCUCGAGUGAUGCAUAGAUACGUGCGGGGGGGAGGGGGGGGAGGAGGGGGAGGACCGCCGCCGGCGUAGAAAGGCCGCGCGCUCUGAUCAGACAUCCGUUUUACGCAGAGAUCUGCUCCGUUCAGCAGGCAGAAGCUAAGCAGGUCGUCAUGUGACAGAGCCCUUCCUGUGGCUGGGAGGUGGGGGUCACCGACCCCCAGGUCAUUUCCUCCGACCUCUUCUUCCUAAUUGAUUCAAUUUCCGAGCCAUUGGUCUCCUAUUAGGAUGUUCUAAUAGACCCGUGCGCCUCCUCUUUAAUAUCUCCUUCUUUUGUCCCCAAAAUAAGGAGAAAUUCUUCACUCUGCGUUAUUAAAUGUUGUCUAACUCCACUCCGCUCUUUUGUAUAGCGAGGACAAUGACCUUUAAACGACAUAAUGAACCUUUCAGUGACGUAGCGGCGUUGUUGAUGUGGGUCUGCAAAAAAACGUAACAGUUUGACCUGAAAGUCACAACGGACUUUACUGCUGAUCGACUUCAUUACAAAUGUGUUUUCGGCCAUCGGUCGAUUACGGCCUUUAAUGUUAGUGGUGCAACGUCCCGCAUGCAGCUGAUACCAAGUAUUAUUUCCAUAGAAUGACACACUGACACGCCGGCAUGCUUUUUGAAACUUGACAUGUGGUUUUAAAAGAAUCAGACAUGAAACUCCAGAAUCUUCUUUUCCAUUUUAUUCCAUUAACGAGUUUCCUCUCUGCUACGGGAUCAUGUUUUUGGAGACUUUUGCACACUGAACUCGGUGACACAUGCCGCGGACAUUCGGGCGGCAGGUACCCAUGUGACCAGUAUUUUGCCUGCUCGAGGCUGCAGGCCGGGCAAGCGGGCGAGUCGGGCACCGCUUGGAGCAGCAGAGUCGCGCUCACUGUUUAAAAACAUUGUUCUAUAGUUAUUUUGCCGGUUGAGCAGACCCACGUCUUCCCUCGUGACACGGACACGUUGCUUUUCACCGGUUGCCGCUGCAUGAAGGAGACACGUCAGUGCGUCAAUGUCCAUAAACAGCUGCUGGGUCGGACCUGUUCCUGUGUUCAUGUAAACACACUGUGACAUCAGGGAAAUCAGACUCCGGAUUGUCCUGCUUCUGCUUUGGUCGGUUUGUUUGUGCUAUCAAACCUGACAGAACCUCCGGUGACGACAGCGCUUCUGCUCCGGAGAGAGAGGAGGCCCGGGGUCAGGUGGCGAGGAGGCCCGGGGGUCAGGUGGUGAGGAGGCCGAGGUCAGGUGGUGAGGAGGCCGGGGUCAGGUGGCGAGGAGGCCCGGGGGUCAGGUGGUGAGGAGGCCCGGGGGUCAGGUGGUGAGGAGGCCGAGGUCAGGUGGCGAGGACGGCCGAGGUCAGGUGGCGAGGAGGCCCGGGGUUGGGUGGCGAGGAGGCCGAGGUCAGGAGGCGAGGACGCCGGGGCAAUGAAACGGCGUUCAUUAUUAACGAUGGCGACGCAGAGCAAAAACAUUGACGUUUGACCAAAAAACGACGGACCACACAGUUGCCCAAAAACAAACAUUUCGAUUUGCUUGUUCUAAUCUGCGGAGGCACUCGGCCUCACGUGGGGGAGGAAUCUUUCUGUUUCGGGAUUCUUUAUAGAAUAACAAGACAGAAUGUUUGCUUAGAUUCACUGGAGUUAACAAACAUCAGCGGAGUCGCUGGCGAGCAAAAACGAGAACGAUCCCGAGUCCCGGCUGGUUGCUGAUGCGGCGCCUCCGUCUGAUGGCGGCGUCCCGCCUCUCGCCGGGAAUACGUGUCUUCAUCUGCAGCACUUUGUGUUUAUUAGUUCUGGUGUCUGACAUUUUCCCAACGCAACGUCUUAUUUAAACAAGCGCACGCUGCUUUAAUCACAAACUCCUCUUUUAAGGUAAAUACAAGCGGAUGGCCUGUCAGAUCGGCAUUUCACAAAAACGGCAUUUCAGACGUGUGUGUGCACACACAUCGUGUGUGUGUGUGUGUGUGUGUGUGUGUGUGUGUGUGUGUGUGUGUGUGUGUUGGCCCCACUGAGAGCGUUAUUACAAAGAGCCAAUAAGAGCGAAGGACCACACUCUAGCACAUCCUGUUUGACUUGACCUCAGAGGAUAUUCUCCUUUCCCAAGCAAACAAACCGCCGGGCUUUUUGGAUCGUACCAACGUCGGAGGGGAAGGGAGGGGACGGGGGACGGGGGACGGGGGACGGGGGGGUCAGGGGGUAGUUUUUGGGAGCAGAGAGACGAGAAAUAAAUACUGCAAGACGAGGUUUUAUCUCUGAGAACACGCCGGCUUACUAAUUGUGUACUGACAACAAAUGAAUGCAAGCCCAAAUAUUCACCUAUUUCUUUUUGUCAAUUCAUUGGCCAAUAAUUUUCAACAUUCAGCAAAUGGGAACCCGUUGGAAUCACUAAAGCGAUAUAUCAAUCAUCAAAUUAGUUGCAGAUUAACUCAACACAAAUCACUGGAAGAGUCUACAUGUCUAAACCUCAGGGCCACAGAUCAGCAAAAACCGGUCACGCCCGUACAAACCAUUUGAAAGCAGCUUUUCAAACCGUCCUCCGUGACGUUCAAAUCACUGCGAUUGUGUGUUUUAAGAACUUCGUAAGCUGAAAAAAACGCGAAAAAACACGCGUGAGCGAGGCCCGUGAGGCGCGUUAAAUCGGCGACAAAAUAAGGAAGAACACAGCAGGAGUCCUUGCUAAUCGGCGGCCUAUCGUGCACUACAUGCUCACGAUUUUGUUCUCAGCAAUAAUUAUCAGAGCGAACGAAGGUUCUGUGUUCGUGGUGAAACGAAAUCCAAUGCUUGAAUCAACUUCAAGCAAGCGGCUGUCACUAUAUUUAGCCUAUAGACCCUGUGUUUCCAUGGCUACCAGGGUUGAAGCGAGCCGAAGGCCGCAACAUUCAUGCGAUCUAUGUGCUCGGGAUCAUUUCAGUAAUCACAGCAUGACUUGUGAAUCAUUUCCACCUGGGUCCCAUAAUGCGAUCCCACCUAAAUUUCAUUAACAGACACGCUGCUUCCAAUUUAAAGGGUUUUUUUCCCCUAAAGGCUCCCUGCCCACUUUUCAGAGAAGCCUUUUUCUGUGCAACUGAAACAUUUUAUUUAAUUCCCUCAAAGCAGGAGAAUCUGUUUUGGAUUCACUUGGACUUCAGUUACACUCGAAUCCAACCGACGACUGAGACUUUUAUUCCUGCUCAGCAACUCAUUGGACCCCAAACUGAACUGAGGAGCAGCUGACCUCCACCCCGUCCGCCGGCGGGGAAGGUGAGUUCUGGCGACGGUCAGCAGCUCCCCGGCGGCCGGUGUUGCCGGUGGACUCGUCCACAGGUGGGUGCUGGUCCACGGCUGUUUGUAGUAAACACCGAAAAGUCAGACUAAUAGAAAGAAAGUUCCAAAACAGAACAUGGUGGGUGGGUGGGGGGGGGGGGGCACAUAUGUGUGAAGGGUCAACGUUUGCCUUUGGGUCUGGUCACACAUCCACGGUAUAUUUCCGCCACUUAAAUCCAAAAUGGCGUGACUGUUAUUCCCAUUCCCACCAGAGAAAACCAGUAAACGUGUUUUUUCGCGGAUCGAAUAACUGCGUAAAGGACUUCGGGUUUCAGAGCGAUUUACGAUAUUCAACUUUGACGUUGGUUCAUCAAAGGAGCGAAGCGCUCUUAACUUCUCCGCCUCUGUGGGUCACGUCCUCCGCCUGCGGCCGCGGCCGGAUGAGAACGCCAGAGAGGCUCCGAUCCGCUUUCAUGUGGGUCACCGUGGACUUCCUCAAGGGGGCUUUUUCAGGUGCGGCUCCGGGGG
ensembl:lncRNA